UCCACGCCGUAAACGAUGGGUACUAGAUGUUGGGUAUAUUGAAAUACUCGGUGUCGUAGUUAACGCGCUAAGUACCCCGCCUGGGGAGUACGGUCGCAAGAUUAAAACUCAAAGGAAUUGACGGGGGCCCGCACAAGCGGUGGAGCAUGUGGUUUAAUUCGAUGCAACGCGAAGAACCUUACCCGGAUUUGACAUCCUCUGGACGGCGACUAGAGAUAGUUGUUUUCUCUUCG
rnacentral:rRNA from 1 species